GCCGCGACGGGCCGUGAGGGGCCGGGCGCGAUGGCCGCGGUGGGGUGGGCAGUUAGUCCGAGAGGCAGCGAGCGGGGUCUGGCGUGGCGGUGCUGCUGAAGCCCCUUUGUGGUCCCCUCCCCGCGGCCGGUUUGUCACAAGGAGAAUCGUGGGGAACGCAAGCGCCAAAAACGGAACUUCAGCAGAUGCCAUGAGAAUGGGCUAAAAAUGGGCUAAAAAGAACAAAAAAGCAGAGAGUGGGCUUUCUGUACCAGGCUGCAAUAGUAAAGUUUGUCUGCAUGAAGACACAAGGCUCUGGAGACACCUUUACCCUGGCUCCUGGCUCUGGAGACACCUUUAACUGCAGCUCCUGGCUCUGGAGACACCUUUAACUGCAGCUCCUGGCUCUGGAGACACCUUUACCCUGGCUCCUCGUUCUGGAGACACCUUUACCCUGGCUCCAGGCUCUGGAGACACCUUUACCCUGGCUCCUAGUUCUGGAGACACCUUUACCCCGGCUCCUGGCUCUGGAGACACCUUUACCCUGGCUCCUAGUUCUGGAGACACCUUUAACUGCAGCUCCUGGCCCUGGAGACACCUUUACCCCGGCUCCUGGCCCUGGAGACACCUUUACCCCGGCUCCUGGCUCUGGAGACACCUUUACCCUGGCUCCUAGUUCUGGAGACACCUUUACCCUGGCUCCUAGUUCUGGAGACACCUUUACCCUGGCUCCUGGCUCUGGAGACACCUUUAACUGCAGCUCCUGGCCCUGGAGACACCUUUCCCCUGGCUCCUGGCCCUGGAGACACCUUUACCCCGGCUCCUGGCUCUGGAGGCACCUUUCCCCCGGCUCCUGGCUCUGGAGACACCUUUCCCCCGGCUCCUGGCCCUGGAGACACCUUUCCCCCGGCUCCUGGCCCUGGAGACACCUUUCCCCCUGCUCCUGGCCCUGGAGACACCUUUCCCCCGGCUCCUAGCCCUGGAGACACCUUUCCCCCGGCUCCUGGCCCUGGAGACACUCCCAGCGCAGCGCUUCCCCCGCGGCCGCCCCGCGGUGCUCGGGGGACACCUGGUGGUGGCUGUGCCGCAGCGCGCCCGGCCCCGCCCCGGCCGGGCCCCGCACGCCCCUUGGCUCGCCGUGGGAAACUGCUGGUGCUGCUCGGCAAUGAAAACCCAUCCAGCACUCGGGUGUGUCUGAGUAAAGCUUUCAGUCAGCCCUAAGACUCUGUGCUGUGCAAUCCUGUCUGAGAGGAAAAGGGCAAGCAUGUACAUGGCCUUGAAUUUAAUGGAAAGAGGACAGCUCUUGUGCCUACUGCUCAUUUAGAGGUACAGCAAUAUCAUUUGCUUAUGAACUAAGCUCUGCAGAGCACGAUAUUAAAACGUAGGGAGCAUGGGCAGUAGUCUGAGUUAUCGACUCGGUUGGUUCCUGAAACCACCUGGACAGGCAGAUGUGGGAGUGUGAAUGAGACAAAUGGCUGUCCUUAUCCUUCCUGUGGUCACCUGGUCUGCUAUGAGGACUUCUCAGAUACAGUUUGCUGUGAAAGGAAGGUUCUCAGGUUUGAUUUAGUAAAUGCUUUAAUGAAAAACUCUGUUCAUCAAAACCUCAUUCUUGUCAUGUAGAACUCUGGAAUGAGGUUGCUUCUCAUACCCAUUUAGAACCAGUAUAUGUGUCACUACACUGUGCAGGGCAAUGAAGGUAUGUCCUAAAUCCCUCUAUGAUGUUCUUUAAUCUGUACAAGGGGACCUCUGACACACCACCUGCUUCUUAAACUUGAGUGUCAUAACAGCCCAGAAUUCCAAGGCAAAUGCUAAACAAAAAUUUUUUUUUGUAAUGUAGGAGAAAGAUGUUGAGUCAAGUAGUUUACAAUUAUACAAUGAGACACUUUUUCCUUCACUUCAGUUUGACUGAAGCAAAAGACAGACACUUCUUCCUUUAGAGGGAACAGAUACGAGUAGAACUAUAUGAACACAGAUUGGCUUCAAAGGGAAAUUGCUAAGUCUGAAUUAAAACAAACAGUUAUAACAGUCAUAAACUAUUAUAAAGAAUGCUUAGAAUACUUUGAAUGUUUUUUAAACAGGAGUUACCAACAAAUACGCUGGUACUAUCCAGACUUCCUGAUUUUGGUGGUGUUUAAAAUAUAACAGUUUAUUUUAGUUCUUACAUUUUAAUCCUGGUGUAUUGGCAUACCUCUUCUGGAUUAGUCAGUGAUGUUUUUCUCAGUUUCUCUUGUGUCUCUUGUUUCUCAUCUGGACUUUGAGUUUUAAAGGAAAGACAGUGUCUUAAGCAUGUGUGAACAAAUGAAUCCCUAUGAUCAAGGUGGGAUGUGAAUUUAUAACGUGGAGGUGUUUGAGGUAACUGCCAUGAAAACUGAUAAUAUGCCCCAGCUUUCAGGAAAUGCUCUCAACGUUGUUGUUUUGAAUGGGGUAACUGGGCUGCCUUUCAAGUUGUUUACUUUGUCAUAGCUGCAGCCUGUAACCCUGAUUAUUGUCUAACUUAACCUGAAGAUGUAUCCACUUGUAUAUAACCCUUUCUGUGUUCAUUGUGUCGGUGCUCAGCUCUUUCAGAAUCUUAUGUACUAUUAUUGAUAGCUGAGCACUUUAGCUGGAAUUCCCUUGGUGACUUGUCACUUGGUCCUUUGUGUUGAGUGACAAUCUUCCCAGGACAUUAUGCCUAUUCACCUACCUACCAUUCCUACUGGGUAUGAUCACAACCUUCCUACUGCAUAGAAAAGCCUGAUGAUGUGUUUGUGACUAUCAAGGAUGAGAGAAAGGUCUGAGGUGUUUUUUAGUCAUUGACAAAUUUUUAAUUGCCUUUAUAGAAUAGAUAGAAGGAUGAGAAGUAAUUGUGUAAAAUCUGAAUUAAUCUGUGAAGUGCUGGAGGAAUAAACUGCUGUCCUUUCCAUCAGCACUUCCACAGUGGUGAGAAACAAAUUUUUCCAGGAAUAAAAUUUCUGUUCAUCUGUU